ACCGAGAACGCUGUGGAAUUGACUCAUAGCCGAAGCACACGAUAAGAUUGGAAGUGGUCGAUGUGCGAUAUCUAGUUCCCGGUCUAUAAAGAAAAGAAGGAAGAUUAAGGUUUAACGUCCCAUCCACACCGACGUCAUAUCGGAUUGAUCUCUGUUACGGACUUAGCGGAAGAUUCCAACUUGACUGCAUGCACCCCUAGUGGCAACAUUGGGACGAGGCAUUUUCUCAGGCCACGACUGAAAGUUGGUGUUCAAUACAUCCACAAUUUGACGGUCCACCUAUGGCAGAUGUUUGCCUAUUAAUUGUGAGGGUAUGGGCAUGACCUCCUGCUACUGCUAGGUGACACAGCAAUGGAAGAACUAGCACUGCGGCAUCGACCUCCAAGUUGGACAGACACAUCUUCCAAUGAAGUUGAAGUGGAUGGUAUUUCAGUACAUAUGCCACACGACUUGCAGGUCACAUCAGUUGUGAAGGUUGUGAACCCAUAUUUGUGGUGCUGUUAUCAGCUGAAAAAGGCAGAAUAUGCGAACAGAUAUGGCAGUGCUAAUGAAAAGACUCUGUAUCAUGCUACAAGCAGAGAUAAUAUGGAGUAUAUAAUUACGAAUAACUUGAAUUGGCGAUAUUCAGGGCGAGUCAUGUAUGGUAAAGGCAUUAGUUUCAGUCCAUCAACCACCUAUGCCAAUUUCUAUUCUAGGUACAGUUUUGAUUCUAACUGGAGGAAUGGGACUGACAUGGCAAUGAUUGUCGCAACUGUACUAGUUAAUAAUAUAGCAGAAGGUAAUUGCAAGACUAUAGUGCCUCCCACUGGUUUUGAUACAACUACUGGAGAUAAUUACCAAGUAUAUGUUAAGUACUGUGACAAUGAAUUUUACCCAGAAUGUAUCAUUUACUACAAAAUCUACAUAGAUGACAACUUUUAAGAAAGCCAAUUAGUAAUUUGCCAGAUAGUGCAGGCAGGAGGAGGGGGGGGGGGGG